GACAGAGGAGGCAAGCGGUGUUCGGAAUUAUUGGGCUUAAAGCGCGUGUAGGCGGCCGCGUAAGUGCUUUGUGAAAGUCCACGGCUCAACCGUGGAAUUGCAGGGCAUACUGCAAGGCUUGAGGUCGAUAGAGGUCGCCGGAACUCUAGGUGGAGCGGUGAAAUGCGUAGAUAUCUAGAGGAACGCCGGAGGCGAAAGCGGGCCGCUGGGCCGUUUCUGACGCUGAGACGCGAAAGCGUGGGGAGCAAACAGG
rnacentral:rRNA from 1 species